UCGUAACAAGGUUUCCGUAGGUGAACCUGCGGAAGGAUCAUUACCUAGAGUUGCGGGCUUUGCCUGCCAUCUCUUACCCAUGUCUUUUGAGUACCUUCGUUUCCUCGGCGGGUUCGCCCGCCGAUUGGACAAAACUUAAACCCUUUGUAAUUGAAAUCAGCGUCUGAAAAAAACAUAAUAGUUACAACUUUCAACAACGGAUCUCUUGGUUCUGGCAUCGAUGAAGAACGCAGCGAAAUGCGAUAAGUAGUGUGAAUUGCAGAAUUCAGUGAAUCAUCGAAUCUUUGAACGCACAUUGCGCCCCUUGGUAUUCCAUGGGGCAUGCCUGUUCGAGCGUCAUUUGUACCUUCAAGCUCUGCUUGGUGUUGGGUGUUUGUCUCGCCUCUGCGCGCAGACUCGCCUCAAAACGAUUGGCAGCCGGCGUAUUGAUUUCGGAGCGCAGUACAUCUCGCGCUUUGCACUCACAACGACGACGUCCAAAAAGUACAUUUUUACACUCUGACCUCGGAUCA
rnacentral:rRNA from 1 species